UACGUAGGGUGCAAGCGUUAAUCGGAAUUACUGGGCGUAAAGCGUGCUCAGGCGGUUUUGUAAGUCUGUCGUGAAAGCCCCGGGCUCAACCUGGGAAUUGCGAUGGAGACCGCAAGGCUUGAAUCUGGCAGAGGGGGGUAGAAUUCCACGUGUAGCAGUGAAAUGCGUAGAGAUGUGGAGGAACACCGAUGGCGAAGGCAGCCCCCUGGGUCAAGAUUGACGCUCAUGCACGAAAGCGUGGGGAGCAAACAGG
rnacentral:rRNA from 1 species